rnacentral:sRNA from 1 species
GCUGGAUAUGAUGGCAUAUGCCUGUAGUCCUGGCUACUUAGGAGGCUGAGGCAGGAGGAUCACCUGAGCCCAGGAAUUUGAGACAAGCCUAAAGCAACACUGAGAGAUCCCAACUCAA